GUGCUCACUUCAGCAGCACAUAUAUUAAAAUUGGAGUGAUACACAGAAGAUUAGCAUGGCCCCUGCACAAGGAUAUACACAAAUUCAUGAAGUCUUCCAUUUUUUU